CCUACGGGUGGCUGCAGUGGGGAAUUUUGCGCAAUGCUCGUAAGAGUGACGCAGCGACGCCGCGUGAAUGACGAAGGCCUUCGGGUCGUAAAGUUCUUUCGACAGGGAAGCAAAUGCCUAUAAGUAACUGUGUAUGUAUUGACGGUAACUGAAUACGAAGCCCCAGCUAACUCCGUGCCAGCAGCCGCGGUAAUACGGAGGGGGCGAGCGUUGUUCGGGUUGACUGGGCGUAAAGAGCACGUAGGCGGUGUUGUAAGUCAUUAGUCAAAGACUAGAGCUCAACUUUAGGAAGGCUACUGAUACUAUAAUACUAGAGUAGCAGAGAGGAAUGCAGAAUUCCUGGUGUAGCGGUGAAAUGCGUAGAUAUCAGGAGGAAUACCGUUAGCGAAGGCGGCAAUCUGGCUGGAAACUGACGCUGAGGUGCGAAAGCGUGGGUAGCAAACAGGAUUAGAUACCCUUGUAGUC
rnacentral:rRNA from 1 species